UAUCAUCAGAACCUCCGAGAGAAAUAAGAUAUGUGAUCAUAGCUACAUUACUUGGAUAUAAGUCAAUUUACCUUGUGAAAAUAAACAUGGAUGAUUAUUUGAGCCAAAAUUAUGAUUUUGCCUAGGAGAUAGCAUCACUGUCCUCAUUCAGAAGGCUGGCUCUUCACCGUGUUCCUGAUGCAGAUGAAACAGACACAGCAUCCAGGCAGUCAGAUGUCUAUCCGAACUCUGU